AAUUUCACCUUUGUCUAAGGGCUUUUCUCAAGUUGCAUGAAGUACUACUUUACAAUCCUACACCAAUAUCAGAUGAUUGUGAAGAUGAAAGGUGGAAAUCUUUCAAGAAUUGUUUAGGGGCAUUAGAUGGGACUUACAUUAAUGUAAAUGUGCCUUCACAAGAACGACCAAAGUAUAGAACAAGAAAAGGAACAAUUGCUAUGAAUGUAUUGGGUGUUUGUGCACCCGGUAUGCAAUUUAUUUAUGUUCUUCCUGGUUGGGAAGGUUCAACCCAUGAUAUCAUGUAUUUUGCAAUGCUCUUUCUAGACCAAACGGUUUUAGGGUACCUCGAGGUAAGUGAAGGCCAUUUUUUUGUGAGUAUAUAUAUUUAUGUUUUGUUAGUUUUGGUAGGUAGUAAUAAUUUUUUUUUAAUAACUUUGAAGGUAAUUAUACGAAUUGUUGAUGCGGGAUAUAAGAAUUGUGAAGGGCUUUCUUGCUCCAUAUAGAGGUUAAAGAUACCAUUUAUAAAAGAUUGGACGGAUCGACAACCCAAAAGUGCCGAGGAUUUCUCUAACAUGAAACAUGCUAGGGCGCAAAAUGUGAUUGAGAGAUGUUUCGGCCUACUUAAUGGAAGAUGGAGUAUUCUUAGAAGUCUUUUAUUUUUCCCUAUAAGAUCUCAUGGAUGUAUCGUGAUGGCUUGUUGCUUAUUGCAUAAUCUAAUUAGAAAAUGCAUGCCUAUGGAUGAUAUAAACGAAGAUGAAUUGAAUGAAUUUGAUAAUGAUUUCGAAAGUGAUUCCGAUGAUGAAAGGGAAUUUAUUACAAGUGUUGCUACUUCGGAUCAUUGGACCAAUUUUAGAAACAAAUUAGCCAAAGAUAUGUUUAAUGAUUGGAGGGCGAGAGGUAGACAUGGUCAAUGCCACAAAAUGUAUGAUUUUUUUUUCUUCGAUUACAGUGUGUAUAUAUAGGUGUAUUUUCUGUUUUUGUUCAUUUUGAAUCCACUGCCACUUUGAAUUUUGCCUUCUACUUUGCACAAUUCUAAUCUGCCUUUUGUUCUGUUUCAUUUCUAAUCUGCCUUUUUCUGUUCAUUUCUAAUCUACCUUAUAUUAUGUUCAUUUCUAAUCUACCUUAUAUUAUGUUCAUUUCUAAUUUGCCUUAUGUUAUGUUCAUUUCUAAUCUACCUUCUAAUUUGCAAUUUGUUUAGGAUGGAGGCUAGCAAUCGAGGAAGAGGUAAAAAUAAAAGGUAUUGGACAUAUGAAGUAGAUGCGGUUCUAAUAAGAUGUUUGCAUAAGUUGAGUUGUGAUCCAAAGUGGAAGUGCGAGAAUGGGUUUAAGAAUGGUUACAUGAAUAGAUUAGAAGAGAUGAUUAGUAGCGUACUUCCUAAUUGUGGCUUGAAAGUGGUUCCCCACAUUGAGUCGAGGAUCAAGCAUUGGUCGGAGAAAUAUAGUGCAUUUACGGAAAUGCUAUCCACCUCAAGAUUUGGAUGGGAUACUGAAAAUAAAUUGUUGCAAGUGGAUAGAUAAGGCCGUGUUUGAUGAAUGGGUGAAGACUCAUAAGAAAUCUAAGGGGUUGUUUGGAAUUCUAUUCAUUCACUAUGAAACUCUUGCGGAGAUAUACGCAAAAGGCAAAGCAGAGAUGCAAGUGAGUCGUACGUUGAUGUUAUAGAAGAUAUGAUCAAGAGAUUAAUAAGCAACCAUUGAAUAAUGUUGAGAAUGAUGAAGAAGAUGAUGUGAACUCUACUCACUCGGACACUUAUUCUUCUACAAGUCAAUUCGGAAAAAUCCCCAUGAAGAUAGAGGAUGAUCAUUCAGUUCCUUCAAAAAAUGUGAAGGCUUCUACAAUUCAUUCUUCCGCAAGUGAUUCUACUACUCAAUCCGGAAAACACUCUAUAAAGGCGAAGGAGGCUAAGGUAAAAGGAAAGAACAAGGUAAAUUUGAAGAGUUUGUGUAGGGAAUGACGAUGAUGAUCUGGUGGCCUCCCUCCAUGAUGUUUCCAACAGUUUUGGGAAGAUAUUUGACAAUAUCAAUGUUAAUCUCGGGACUAUUGCUAGUGCAUGGUCUAAAGCGGAAGAAAGGAAGCAAAGGAUGGAUGAAAAAGUGAACAAGGUUUUGGAUGAGGUGGUGAAAUUAGAUGGAAUUUCUCCAUCCGAACCUUUAGAGAUUGCUACAAUUCUCAUGGCGGAAGAACAUAAGCUCCGCAUCUUCUAUCAAGCACCAACUAAUAUGGAGAAACAAUAUGCAAUUGAUCUCCUUAAGAAGAAGUCGAAAGUUUUGUCCUAAGUUGUUAUUGGAGUUUUAAUGUUUCAAUUCAAUAGUGUUUUUUUUUUUUUCGUUUGGAGAAUACUAGAAUUUCAAUGCUAUUGUAAUCAAUACUUUAUGUGACUUUGCCUAUAUCUAGCAUAUGAUAUAUUAUGGUAAUUGGUUUCAAAAAAAAUAAAAUAUUAUGGUAAUUAGUGUUGCUCUACAUUGCAUAAUGUGUAGCAAAAAUUAGCCGAGACAACAAAAAAUAAUAGGAAAGCUAUUUGUUUCCAAGUUAUCAAUGUCAAACAAGAGGAAACAGAUUGGUUGUAAUCGUUUACGUUUCCUUAAUAAUACCAAACAACUAGUAAGGGUAACACUAUAUAUUAUCCUUUUCCCUC